rnacentral:rRNA from 1 species
GACGAACGCUGGCGGCGUGCUUAACACAUGCAAGUCGAACGGAAAGGCCCUGCUUUUGUGGGGUGCUCGAGUGGCGAACGGGUGAGUAACACGUGAGUAACCUGCCCUUGACUUUGGGAUAACUUCAGGAAACUGGGGCUAAUACCGGAUAGGAGCUCCUGCUGCAUGGUGGGGGUUGGAAAGUUUCGGCGGUUGGGGAUGGACUCGCGGCUUAUCAGCUUGUUGGUGGGGUAGUGGCUUACCAAGGCUUUGACGGGUAGCCGGCCUGAGAGGGUGACCGGCCACAAUGUGACUGAGGUACGGCCCAGACUCCUACGGGAGGCAGCAGUGGGGAAUAUGGCACAAUGGGCGGAAGCCUGAUCCAGAGACGCCGCGUGCGGGAUGACGGCCUUCGGGUUAUAAACCGCUUUCGCCUGAGACGAAGCGUGAGUGACGGUAAUGGGUAAAGAAGCACCGGCUAACUACGUG